UACGAAUGGAGCGAGCGUUGUUCGGAAUCACUGGGCGUAAAGGGUGCGCAGGCGGUCAUGAAAGUCAGAAGUGAAAUCCCAGGGCUUAACCCUGGAAUGGCUUUUGAAACUCCAUGACUAGAGUAUUGGAGAGGUUGGCGGAAUUCCGAGUGUAGAGGUGAAAUUCGCAGAUAUUCGGAGGAACACCAAUGGCGUAGGCAGCCAACUGGACAAUUACUGACGCUCAUGCACGAAAGCGUGGGGAUCAAAC
rnacentral:rRNA from 1 species